rnacentral:pre_miRNA from 15 species
UGGCGGGGUUAAUAACACGUCUCGACGCCUCGCAGUAUAUUUUUGUGUUUUGUUUCGUUUUGCAAUCCAAAUCACAGGAUUAUACUGUGAGAUGACCAGCGUGCCAGCAGCGAAAAGCGAC